ensembl:lncRNA
AUUUUCAAUUGCCUCUGAUUCUCAGCCACUUUCAAGGGGGAAAAGGUCAUUCCAUAAACCUGAGGUGCUAGUGUGACGAUGGCAGUGCUGGAUCGCUAUGACACCCUCUGCGCUGGGGACAGGGGAGGGGAGAGCUAAUUAAUCGGAAAUCUUACUUUGCAGGCGAGAGUCACUGGAAGCAGGUGUCAGGGGGCCUUUAACGAGGCCCUCGUGACUCGGAUGGUAUUUUCACUCCGUCUCACCUGAGCGUGCAUUGAGCACCUACUAGGCGCCAGCCCCGAGUGACGUGCUGGGAGUUAAUGAGGAGUCCUGCUGCUGGGGCCCUGCCAGGCUAGACCGGCCUGCUCACUCAGGAGAUGGACGGGCGCUAAUAGACGAGAGUGGACUGCGGCAAUCCCGGCGGAUGAAGACCAAGCAGGUGCUCUGCAGGAGGAGCAUUCCUGACGGAGGUGGGAGAGGAGCUGGAGAGGAGCUGGAGAGGAGGGCAGCGCCACAGUCCGGGUGCUCGGCUUUAUUGUGGCGGUAAAGCGCGGCCCUCAGGACCCGGAUGGGGCCCUUGGCGCAGUGCUUCUAAGUUGUGUUUCCCUUGCC